CAUUUAUAUUCAUUAUUGAUUUGAGUUAACUAGUUUCUAAAACUUUAUUAAUUUAUAAAAUUACGAUUUUAAAACCGCAAUGCUUUUAUAUAUGCAACUUAUUUCCUAAAAACGUAUCGAGUUAUUUAAACUAUUUUCUAAAAUAUAUUCAUUGGCUCAAUCGUUUCAACAUUACAUAGUCAAGCCCAAACCAAUAAGCCAUUCAAGCCCAUCAAAAUGCCAUCCUAAAUCAGAAAUUCUAAACUCAAAAGAAAAAGGGAAAAAAAAAAAUCAACACCAACAUCAUCAACAUCAUGCAUCAUCAUCACUAAUCACCAUGUUCAUCAUCAUGCAUCCAUGGAAGUUUCUUGCAAAUUGCAAAUUCACUACUUAGCUUCUUCUACGUGUAAAUCUCUAAAUCAAACACCAUCAUCAAGCUCUCUCCACCAUAUGAUGCACCACCCAAAUCACCCAAUCAAAAUUGGUUUUCAAUCUGAAUAAUCACUCAAAUUCAUCUAUAAAUAGUGCAAGGAUUCAACUCAAUUCAAUUCACAAAUCAAUUGCAAACCCAUCCUCAAAUUUCAGCAAGUUUCAAUUCAAGAAAAAUCAAAUUAAAAACUCCCUGCUUCUACAACCACCACCGGCGGCCACCUGAAGGCGGACUCGCGCCGGCGUCCAGCCACCUCGCCGCCCUCGCUCCGCCUCCUGCUCCUCCCUCCUGCUCGCCGUCCUCCCUCCACCACCGUUCGCCCUCCUCCUCUCCCCUUCCUCUCGCGACUCCCUCCUCUCUCCUUCCUCUUCGCUGCGCUCCCUGCAGCGUCACCACCACCGGAACCCGCGACCACCCUCCUCGCCGCCUGAAUCACCCGCGCUACCCCAGCCCGACCGGCGAACCAACCCCACACAACUCCUCCUUCCCUUCCUCCUCUGCCUUCUCCUAUUUCGUUCCCCUGUAAUAUUGAAAGACCAAAUUUGGUUUCCAGGAACUACUCCCAAAUUUAAUCAGUAAAAUAAAUACCCAUAGUCCAUUUAUUUGACCCAUUAAAGAAAGAAGAGGUCCUUGGAGCUCAAGAAGAACGGCUCAUCGAAAGUAAGGAAAACGAGUGCUAAUAGAGGUUGAGGUACCGAAGAGGACAACGGGAUGGAUUAGUGGUGAGGACGUAUCAGUUAAAGCAAGGUUGCCCAGUUUAAUAAGUG